GACGAACGCUGGCGGCGUGCCUAAUACAUGCAAGUCGAGCGGACCAAAGGGAGCUUGCUCCUGGAGGUUAGCGGCGAACGGGUGAGUAACACGUGGGCAACCUGCCUGUAAGACUGGGAUAACAUCGAGAAAUCGGUGCUAAUACCGGAUAAUAAAAAGAACUGCAUGGUUCUUUUUUGAAAGAUGGUUUCGGCUAUCACUUACAGAUGGGCCCGCGGCGCAUUAGCUAGUUGGUGAGGUAACGGCUCACCAAGGCGACGAUGCGUAGCCGACCUGAGAGGGUGAUCGGCCACACUGGGACUGAGACACGGCCCAGACUCCUACGGGAGGCAGCAGUAGGGAAUCUUCCGCAAUGGACGAAAGUCUGACAGAGCAACGCCGCGUGAGUGAUGAAGGUUUUCGGAUCGUAAAACUCUGUUGUUAGGGAAGAACAAGUGCCGUUCGAAAGGGCGGCACCUUGACGGUACCUAACGAGAAAGCCACGGCUAACUACGUGCCAGC
rnacentral:rRNA from 1 species